rnacentral:rRNA from 1 species
AGUGAACGCUGGCGGUAGGCCUAACACAUGCAAGUCGAACGGCAGCACAGUAAGAGCUUGCUCUUACGGGUGGCGAGUGGCGGACGGGUGAGGAAUACAUCGGAAUCUACUUUUUCGUGGGGGAUAACGUAGGGAAACUUACGCUAAUACCGCAUACGACCUACGGGUGAAAGCAGGGGAUCUUCGGACCUUGCGCGAUUGAAUGAGCCGAUGUCGGAUUAGCUAGUUGGCGGGGUAAAGGCCCACCAAGGCGACGAUCCGUAGCUGGUCUGAGAGGGUGAUCAGCCACACUGGAACUGAGACACGGUCCAGACUCCUACGGGAGGCAGCAGUGGGGAAUAUUGGACAAUGGGCGCAAGCCUGAUCCAGCCAUACCGCGUGGGUGAAGAAGGCCUUCGGGUUGUAAAGCCCUUUUGUUGGGAAAGAAAAGCAGCAGGUUAAUACCCCGCUGUUCUGACGGUACCCAAAGAAUAAGCGCCGGCUAACUUCGUG